AUGGCCAAGAUGCACAUAAGCAAAUGAAAGCUACAAUGAGGUAUCACCUCACACCAGUCAGAAUGGCUGUCAUUCAAAAGUCCACAAAUGAUAAGUGCUGGAGAUGCUGUAGAGAAAGGAAACCCUCCUAUUCUGCUGGUGGGAAUGCAGUUUGCUGCAGCCAUUAUGGAAAACGGUAUGGAGAUUCCUCAAAAAAC